CAGACGAGCGCGGCGCGGACGAGGGAGGUGGGGUGGUCGAGGCGGAGGAGGAUCUCGCGGAGGAGGUCUCCGCUGUCGAGGACCGAGGAGGCGGCGGGCGCCCCGCCGGGAAGGGCGCGGCCGCUUGCGAUCCAUGUCGACCGCGGAAGUCGUUGGGCAUGUAAAUCGAAAUCUAGAUUUGUCCUGUCGUUCAACUCCGGGAAAG
rnacentral:lncRNA from 1 species